rnacentral:rRNA from 1 species
GCAUAUCAAUAAGCGGAGGAAAAGAAACUAACAAGGAUUCCCCUAGUAGCGGCGAGCGAAGCGGGAAAAGCUCAAAUUUGUAAUCUGGCGUCUUCGACGUCCGAGUUGUAAUCUCGAGAAGUGUUUUCCGUGAUAGACCGCAUACAAGUCUCUUGGAACAGAGCGUCAUAGUGGUGAGAACCCAGUACACGAUGCGGAUGCCUAUUACUUUGUGAUACACUUUCGAAGAGUCGAGUUGUUUGGGAAUGCAGCUCAAAUUGGGUGGUAAAUUCCAUCUAAAGCUAAAUAUUGGCGAGAGACCGAUAGCGAACAAGUACCGUGAGGGAAAGAUGAAAAGCACUUUGGAAAGAGAGUUAACAGUACGUGAAAUUGUUGGAAGGGAAACACAUGCAGUGAUACUUGCUAUUCGGGGCAACUCGAUUGGCAGGCCCGCAUCAGUUUUUCGGGGCGGAAAAGCGUAGAGAGAAGGUAGCAAUUUCGGUUGUGUUAUAGCUCUUUACUGGAUUCGCCCUGGGGGACUGAGGAACGCAGCGUGCUUUUAGCAAUUCCUUCGGGAAUUCCACGCUUAGGAUGCGGGUUUAUGGCUGUAUAUGACCCGUCUUGAAACACGGACCAAGGAGUCUAACAUGCUUGCGAGUAUUUGGGUGUCAAACCCGGAUGCGCAAUGAAAGUGAAUGGAGGUGGGAAGCGCAAGCUGCACCAUCGACCGAUCUGGAUUUUUUAAGAUGGAUUUGAGUAAGAGCAAGUAUGUUGGGACCCGAAAGAUGGUGAACUAUGCCUGAAUAGGGCGAAGCCAGAGGAAACUCUGGUGGAGGCUCGUAGCGGUUCUGACGUGCAAAUCGAUCGUCAAAUUUGGGUAUAGGGGCGAAAGACUAAUCGAACCAUCUAGUAGCUGGUUCCUGCCGAAGU